GGAAGUAAAAGUCGAACAAGGUCUCCGUUGGUGAACCAGCGGAGGGAUCAUUACCGAGUUUACAACUCCCAAACCCCUGUGAACUUAUACCUUUACUGUUGCUUCGGCGGGUCAUUGCCCCGGGGAAACAGGCGGCCGUCAGGUCCCUGCCCACCCGGAAACAGGCGCCCGCCGGGGGACUCAAACUCUUCUGUAUUUUUUUGUUUACUGUAUACUGUCUGAGUAAAAAUUCAUAAUGAAUCAAAACCUUCAACAACGGAUCUCUUGGUUCUG
rnacentral:misc_RNA from 1 species